AUUUUCCCGUUUUGCGGCUCCGCCUCCCCUACACCCCACCUAGCGCCAACCAAUGAUGUCAAAUCCCAGUCUUCUGGGUUUGUGUCAUGGCCUUGGUACG